GUUACCUAGCCUGGUCAUGAAAUGUUUGGAAACCAACCCACAAGCUCGGAAAAGGAGCCUUCACCUUCAAUCUUCAUUGUUUUUAUAGUGAUGGGUUGCAAACAAAAUUUCAUGAACAACCAUUUGCCAAAUAUCAAAGGUUUUUCAAGACAAAAAAAUACUUCUAUUGUUUAAGUAUGCAUCCUGCUUUUGAGAAGAUAAUUUCUCCCUUUAAUAAGAAGAAGCUUGUCUUUGAAAGGCAAAAUUGCAGGGCUGGAAACUGUAAGAAAUUUCCACAUAAGAAUGGUACUGAGGAAAGAAGAAACCUGGCAAUCUGGCCCGCUGUAACGGCUAUGCAAACUAAACUUUAAGAUAUCUAAGUCAAGCAUAA